ensembl:misc_RNA
AUGAAAACCUGCUAGACUGAAGUCUAAUUUAUCUACAGAACAACCAAAGCACAGCAGUGUGUGUAUGAGCUUCACUUCACUGCCCUGCCAAUGGGCCUCAACCUUUCCCUGGAGAGACCACCUGUAGGGGUAACUCAGUUUCCAUGGCCAUUUGCUCCUGGGCCUCU